ACAAAGCAAUAUCUGGCAUUUCUGAUAUCUGAGAUACAGAUUCACAGGGUUUUAACACCAGCGCUGCUCCCUCUGUGGCUGAGAUGAUUCAAACACUGUGCUGCAAAGCCACAACUGGGCACAGGUACCUCUUCUUCCUGGAGACAGAUGUACUUGCUGGGUUAUUUGCAGAGAAUUGACGUUUGAGGACCUUGACAGGGGCUGCCAGCCCUGGAAGGACUGGUGGCAGUGGGAGCAUGUGAGUCCCAGUCUCUGGACAAGUUCUCCUCAAGGUUCACAGUAUAAGCUUGUGUAUGUGAGCCUGGUAUUGCUGUCAAUUACAAUCCACAUUUUUAAACCUAUUAUUCAAUUAAAAAAAAAAAAAAAAGGCAUCUGUUUUAAUUGCUGAAAGGAAGCCUAUGAAUCGGGAUGAAGCACCCUUCCAUGCAACCCUAUCCAGGACAAAAUAUAGCACUAUAUUUAGAUUAUUAUUAGAUCUUUUUCUUCUCUUUGGUCUCUGUCUUCUAGUACUGUGUUUAUGUUUGUUUUUCAACUGCUCUGCUUGUCACCUUGUAAUUACACUGGAUUUCUUUUUCUCCCUCCUGCUGGCUUUUUUUUUUCCCUUUCUACUGUCUCUCCCAAGCAGAAUGGAAAACCAUUAACAUUCCCAGUUCCCCAUGAACAACCAAGCCCUUCCCUUGCCGCUGCAUUUCAAGUGAGGCAAGGCAAGUUUGUGUGAAAAAAAAACCAACCAGACAGAGUCUUUUCUCCUCCCCAUAUAUGCAGGACUGAAGGAUGGCUGGGGAAGCUGCAGGGAGCCUGCUACAAAGGAGCCUGGCACCACUCAGACCCUUCACAUUGGAGUCAGCUCCACUGCUUACAGUAGAACCCACACCUUCUUCCCCUCGCACCAAAAUCUGAGGAUUCUCAUAGUGAAUCUUGCAUUGCUGACCCAUUUUCAGCAUCCUGUAAGUGGCCCCAGUUGGUACAUGCACAUGCAAGUGAAUUCUGAAAUGCAAGUUAUCACCAACUUGAGGGGGAACCAUAGAAUCAUAGAAUUGUUAAGGUUGGAAAAGACCUCUGAGAUCACCCAGUCCAACUGUCAGCCCACCCUCACCACGCCCACUGCCCACGUCCCUCAGUGCCACAUCCACACGGCUCUUGAACACCUCCAGGGACGGUGACUCCACCACCUCCCUGGGCAGCCUGUGCCACUGCCUCACCGCUCUUGCUGAGAAUAAAUUGUUCCUAAUGUACAAUCUGACCUUCCCCUGGUGCAAACUAAGGCCAUUACCUCUCGUCAUAUUGCUGUCAGCUGAGAGAAGAGGCUGACAGAGAGGUACACCCUCAGGAGGUUCCCACUGCUGCACCUUCAGGUAGCACCGGGCAGCCCUCCAACCAGGCUCAACUGGAGCGGCCUACAGAGAGAGUGGGCAGGGGACUCCCAGUAGUCACUUCCCAGAAGACCAGGUGCAGGAUGCUUAACCCUUCAUCUCAGUCAACAGUGAACACAAUUUUCUGGAAUGCCAUGAAGCACCUCUCUGUUUGACAAACCAUAUUUUUAGUCGCUAAAUUCAUUUACAUUGACUGGCCAGUGGCUGGUUGUGGCAGUCAUUCAAAAAGCGACCUAGAGAUGAAAAAUUGUCACUGGGUCCCCGAAAUUACUUUCUUCAAUUAAACAUAUACACUAAGAGCUUUCAGGAAGAAGAAUUUUUGGCAAUGCUGGUUUGUUCAGUGCUGCUUUACAAAUUACUGCUUCUUAUAUGCUGAAUUUUAACCCUCUGUCCCUCAGUUUUAAGGCACGUGUCAACUAUAUGCUAAAGGAGUCAAGAAGAUAGGCUUCAAUUAUUUCAUUUUAUGGAGGUUAAAAAGGUUCUUGUAAAUGACUGAUACAAAUAACUGGAAACCCAGUUAAAACAACUGGAUAACAGAUGGCAAAGGAAAGUGGUUUACUGUAAAGUGUUGCAGACUAGAAGAUCAUUUACAAGAAGCAAUUACACAAACAUCCCUAAGCAUCCAAGAUCCCAUAAAAGGGUUGCUGAGGUGGAAGCACAGUUUCAGUUGUGGAUUUUUGUGCUUCAAUUAAAAUCAAAUCUUUUAUUUUAUUUUAUUUUAUUUUAUUUUAUUUUAUUUUAUUUUAUUUUAUUUUAUUUUAUUUUAUUUUAUUUCUGUUCUUGUUGUCUCCCCUUCCCUCUCUGUGUUCCCUUCCUUAUGAAGGGAGCUUUAGUGUUUCUCACCCUGUACAAGGAAUGAAAGUGGCCAGACAAGUCCUCCCUCUAAGAAAAUCUUGUGCAAAAAAGGUUUAUUUUUCUUUUUUUUUUUUCCUUUUUUUCAUUGUAUUUCCUUUGAGGUUAAGGAUCAAUUAAAGACC
ensembl:lncRNA